GACAGAGGGUGCAAACGUUGUUCGGAAUUACUGGGCGUAAAGCGCGUGUAGGCGGUCGUGCAAGUCGGGUGUGAAAGCCCUCGGCUCAACCGGGGAAGUGCACUCGAAACUGCAUGACUAGAGUCUCGGAGAGGAUAGUGGAAUUCCCGGUGUAGAGGUGAAAUUCGUAGAUAUUGGGAAGAACACCGGUGGCGAAGGCGGCGCUCUGGACCGAGACUGACGCUGAGGCGCGAAAGCGUGGGGAGCAAACAGG
rnacentral:rRNA from 1 species